AUGCUGCCAAAGCAAGCGCAUAUGCUAAAAUUGAAAUGAUACAGAGAUUAGCAUGGCCCCUUGUGUAAGGAUGACAUGCCAAUUCAUGAAGCAUAUCAUAUUUUU
ensembl:snRNA U6 U6 spliceosomal RNA